rnacentral:rRNA from 1 species
CGGCGGACGGGUGAGUAACGCGUGGGUAACCUACCCUGUACACACGGAUAACAUACCGAAAGGUAUGCUAAUACGGGAUAAUAUAUUUGAGAGGCAUCUCUUGAAUAUCAAAGGUGAGCCAGUACAGGAUGGACCCGCGUCUGAUUAGCUAGUUGGUAAGGUAACGGCUUACCAAGGCGACGAUCAGUAGCCGACCUGAGAGGGUGACCGGCCACAUUGGGACUGAGACAUGGCCCAA